CCUACGGGAGACAGCAGUGGGGAAUAUUGGGCAAUGGGCGCAAGCCUGACCCAGCAACGCCGCGUGAAGGAAGACGGCUUUCGGGUUGUAAACUUCUUUUCUGCGGGGCGAAGCAAGUGACGGUACCUCAGGAAUAAGCAACGGCUAACUACGUGCCAGCAGCCGCGGUAAUACGUAGGUGGCAAGCGUUAUUCGGAUUUAUUGGGUGUAAAGGGCGUGUAGGCGGGAAAGCAAGUCAGAUGUGAAAACUCAGGGCUCAACCCUGAGCCUGCAUUUGAAACUGUUUUUCUUGAGUGCUGGAGAGGCAAUCGGAAUGCCGGGUGUAGCGGUGAAAUGCGUAGAUAUACGGAGGAACACCAGUGGCGAAGGCGGAUUGCUGGACAGUAACUGACGCUGAGGCGCGAAAGCGUGGGGAGCAAACAGGAUUAGAUACCCUAGUAGUC
rnacentral:rRNA from 1 species